rnacentral:sRNA from 16 species
CAAGAGCGGCGGUCUCCUCUCCUCCUCCCUGGGGAUCGCCGCGCCUGACGCCAGAUACGGUGACCUUUCCUCCUCCCUAAGGUCACCGGAACAAAGACGGCGAUGUCCUCUCCUCCUCCCUGGGCAUCGCCGUUUUUU